rnacentral:tRNA from 1 species
ACCUGGCUGGCUCAGUUGGUAGAGCAUGAAACUCUUGAUCUCAGGGUUGUGGGUUCAAGCCCCACACUGGCUG